GCGCGGCUGGCUGGUCCGCCUCACGGCGUGUACUGGUCCCGGUCGUGCUUUCCUCUUGGGUGGCCCGAUGGUGCUUUAUUGUGCCGUCGGGAUGACCCAGGACUUUUACUUUGAAAAAAUUAGAGUGUUUAAAGCAGGCAAUCGCUUGAAUACAUUAGCAUGGAAUAAUGAAAUAGGACGUUCGACCCUAUUUUGUUGGUUUCUAGGAUUGACGUA
rnacentral:rRNA from 1 species